ACAACCCUGCUGUGUCCGUGAUCGCUGGACCGGGUUUUGAGCCAACACCUAAUAGAACGGGGACUGUUUCUUCGGCAGGGGAUGCGAUAGCCUCGGGGCAAGGCAGACCCUCUGAGUAGGUUCCCACCUGCGAAAGCAGGUUCAAAACGAGGCAGCACACGGCACGGCGGGGCGUUA
rnacentral:other from 1 species